AUUAAUAAGCGGAGGAAAAGAAACUAACAAGGAUUCCCUCAGUAACGGCGAGUGAAGCGGGAAGAGCUCAAAUUUGAAAUCUCCGGUGCUUGCAUCGGCGAGUUGUAGUUGCGAGAAGCACUUUCUAGGUGGAUCGGCGGUGCCUAAGUUGCUUGGAACAGCACGUCGCAGAGGGUGACAACCCCGUCUGUGGCGCCGCCGGCCGCUGACGAUGUGCUUUCGAAGAGUCGGGUUGUUUGGGAAUGCAGCCCAAAAUGGGUGGUAAACUCCAUCUAAAGCUAAAUACUGGCGUGAGACCGAUAGCGAACAAGUACCGUGAGGGAAAGAUGAAAAGAACUUUGAAAAGAGAGUUAAAAAGUACGUGAAACCGUCGGAAGGGAAACGAAUGGACUCAGCAAUGCGCCCUCUGAGAUUCAGCCGCGUGGGUGGCGUCGGCGCGGGGUUUGCGGAUCUGAAUGGACCGCGGCCCGGCGCUCGCUGCUCCCCGCCGUCGCACUUCUCUGGGGCGCGCGUCAACGUGGGUUGGGACUGGGUCUGAAAGGUGCCGGGAAGGUAGGUGUGGGCCUUCGGGUCCGUUCUGUUACAGCCCGGUUCUCUCAUGGCUCGGGCCCGACCGAGGAGCAGACAGGGCAUGCCUCCUGUGGCUAGGGUCCCGUCCUUCCGGCCGGCUGUCCAGUGUGGUGGACUGCUUGCAGUGCUCUGCGACGGCUGCCGGUCGUUGGGGUGGUGAUCUCGUACCAUGCCCUUGGGAUGUUGGCGGUCAUA
rnacentral:rRNA from 1 species